GUGCUUGCUUCAGCAGCACAUUUACUAAAAUUGGAUUGAUACAGUAAAGAUUAGCAUGGCUCCUGUACAAGGAUGACACACAAAUUCAUGAAGCGUUCCAUAUUUUU